UUAAAAUGAUUGUUAGCCACACUAGAUGGGAAGUUCGGAUGCUGCGUCGGUCUCUCGCUCCGAGGCCAGCGCGUGUAGCGGACGUGUCGCAGGAUGUAACCCGUGAAGGUCUACACGGAGGCGCCGGACCACUGGGGCGUGAUCCUCAGCCGCAGGUGCAGACCAUCUAGAAAACGCUGUCCGUGUUUAAGAAUGGUGCCAAUGGGGGCUUCCGACUUCCGAUUACACCUAGGAAGGCGGAGAGCAAUAAGAGCAGACACGUCGCGCUGCAGCCAAACCAUGCUCCGUUAACGCAACGUGGCCGGAGCAUGGACUUGGUCGCGUGGAUCAGGGGUGCCUCGCUUCAACACGACCACUACAUGCGGAGCCAAAAAAACCCUACUUAUAUUUGGUUGCUAAUCCUAUUUAUUUCAUCGUGUAUUUGGCACAGGAAUGACGCACAGACAGACCACAGAAAAUGGUGGCCAUCGAGAGGCGGCGGCCUCUGGGUGGUUGCCGUGAAUAUGUGGGCCUGUUUAGGGGGGUAACGCGGUAUGUGGUGUCCUAGGCUAGAUGACACUAUGAUACCACAGGCUGUCGUGGCAUUGUCAUAUGGGGGAGGAUAGGAUAAACAGACAUUCAGUAUUAUUGUCAUUUGUAUAACAAGAGCCUGCUUUAUACAAGAAACAAUAGUGUAGUAUGAUCUGUUUUGCGAUGUUCUAGAGGUUUGAUGUAUUUAUUUGUAAUAAUUUUUGGCCGGUAUGAUGUACUUUUGCUAGUUUUAUUUACACCUACUGGACUGAGUGAGUACCCAGCUUUAUUGAUUUUAUUUGGGAAAUCUCGUAUCGGGCGGAGCUUUUCAUUUUAGAUCGAGAGCUGAUGGACAUUUUGGGUACAAUGUCUGAGGCAGCGUAGAACAUUGUUAAAAUAUUUUUCUAGUUAAACCUAAGGUCUUAAGCGACCAUUAAAUUAAAAACAACUAUUUUUUUUCAAGAAUGAUCUCGAAGCAUUUUGAACGUUUUAAUAGUUAUCUUAGAAUUUAGUAUUUAGAGGCGAAAACAAACGCCAGAUCAUUUAACAGCAUCUCAGACAUUGCCAGAUAUUUGCAAAGACAUAUCGUUUAAAUAUUGAAGAUCCCCUUUUUUUAGUUUGUCACAUGUCAUCGCUUCCCAGACAUAUGGCGGACUAAAAAAAGGGCUUUUUUCUUCGAUUUUUUAAAAUAUAUCUUUGCAAACAUCUGACACAGUUUCGGACUCCGGUUAAAUGGUCUGGCGCUUUUAUUUUUAAUACUUUAAAUACUAAAUUCUAUGAUAUUAAAAUUUUAAAAUACUUCAUAAACAUUUUAGCAAAAAACAAAGCUUAUUUUAAAUUAAUGAGUCUCCUAAGGCCUGCUACCUUACGUCAGGUCGCAUUUCCCUGACUCUCUGCAAUAUGGUAUUCAGGUUUAACUAGAAACUAUUUAACAAUGUUCUACGUUGCUUCAAACAACUUCCCCAGAAUGUCAAUCAGCUCUCAGACUAUGUAUUUUGUAUUCAGUUUUCGUGGAUGUAUUAAAUGUAUUUAAUUUUAAUGGUGUAAAUUUUUGAUUUAUUGUUGUAUUCUGUAUGAUUGUAUUUAGUUUUAAAGAUGUUUUAUUUUAUGGGGGCCCUGUAUUUAGUAAUUUAUAUCGAUUUAUUGUGAAUUAUAUUUCUGAUUUUCACGGAGAAGUCGGACCCUCUGUGAAGAUCAUUAAUUAAUUUUAUAAUUACGAUAUACUUACUUUUUCACUAUUAAUUUUCAGUAUGUGUCAUGUAUAAGUUGUGUUCAGUUUUUAUCAAUGUGUUGAUUUUGUUUAAUGUGAAUAUUAAUUUCUAUCAUUUUAUUCGCGUAAAUCUGUAUUUAGUUCAAUGGUUGUAUUCAUUUCUUGUUGUAAUUAUUAAUUUCAGCGUCCACGUAUUGUGUACAUAUAAUUUGUAUUUAGUUUCGUGUUAGAUGUAUUAAUUUUAUCCCUUACAUUAUCUGGUGAACAGUUCUUCUAAAAAUGUGCUACAUGUUGAACUGAACGUAAUUACAUCGGUAUCACCCAAA
rnacentral:lncRNA from 1 species